GAUGAACGCUGGCGGCGUGCUUAACACAUGCAAGUCGAACGGAGUAUUGACUUUGAAUUCUAACGGAUGAAGAGUUGAUACUUAGUGGCGGACGGGUGAGUAACGCGUGGAUAACCUGCCCCAUACCGGGGGAUAACAGCCGGAAACGGCUGCUAAUACCGCAUAAGCGCACGGGAAUGCAUGUUUCUGUGUGAAAAACUCCGGUGGUAUGGGAUGGAUCCGCGUCUGAUUAGCUGGUUGGCGGGGUAGAGGCCCACCAAGGCGACGAUCAGUAGCCGACCUGAGAGGGUGGCCGGCCACAUUGGGACUGAGACACGGCCCAG
rnacentral:rRNA from 1 species